rnacentral:rRNA from 1 species
UCCACUCAACCCCUGUGCACUUUCGAAGUCGUGGUCCUCCGUCGCGGGAGCCGCCUCGUCAUCUCUUUGACGGGGCCGGGGCCGCGCUUCGCCUUUCAUCACAAACUCUUUUAAAUGUCUUGUAGAAUGUGAAAUGCCUCUUUGUGGGCGAAACUUAAUACAACUUUCAACAACGGAUCUCUUGGCUCUCGCAUCGAUGAAGAACGCAGCGAAAUGCGAUAAGUAAUGUGAAUUGCAGAAUUCAGUGAAUCAUCGAAUCUUUGAACGCACCUUGCGCUCCUUGGUAUUCCGAGGAGCAUGCCUGUUUGAGUGUCAUGAAAUCAUCAACCCCCCUCUCUCUGUCUCUUCGGAGACUUCGGAGGGGUGGCUUGGACUUGGGGAUCUGCUGGCCCUUCGGGAUUCGGCUUCCCUUGAAUGCAUUAGCCAGACUUCGGUUCGCAGCGGCUCAGCGGUGUGAUAAUAUCUUCACUGCGGCCGGCUCGGCAGUGUCAAGUUCGGCUUCUAAUCGUCCGUCUCGGACACACCUUCAUUGACAAUCUGACCUCAAAUCAGGUAGGACUACCCGCUGAAC